CGAAUUUUUACGAUCAUAAUCACAAUUUGCAACAAUCCAUCUGUUAGUAUCAAGCAUGCACCCUCAUUGUAGUACUAUGUAGAAUCAGAUUACUCAAGCCUCAACUAGGAGUCUCAAAAUCAAAAACACAUAUUGGCUCUAAUAUUCAGGUAUGCAUACACAAUUAGUUUCUGACUGCAGUCUUUUUCUACGAAUCUAUCUUGCAGCUUUAUAACAUAUAACAUACUUAGCACUCUGAUAAAGGAAGUCAGAACUUACCAGCAAUAGCAUCGGUUGCUUUGCGAAUAGCUUCAGCAAUGUGCUCCUCGUCAGUUUUAUCAACUUUAUUCUUACCGUACAGUUCGUACUCAAGCCAGAUCUCAGGUUCAAAGCUAGAGCUCUGCUGAAGCCUCAUCACAAGAGGAACCCUAGUGCAGAUUCCUUCCCCGCGAGG
rnacentral:lncRNA from 1 species